rnacentral:rRNA from 7 species
CAACUUUCAGCAACGGAUCUCUUGGCUCUCGCAUCGAUGAAGAACGCAGCGAAAUGCGAUAAGUAAUGUGAAUUGCAGAAUUCAGUGAAUCAUCGAAUCUUUGAACGCACCUUGCGCCCUUUGGCUAUUCCGAAGGGCAUGCCUGUUUGAGUAUCAUG